rnacentral:rRNA from 1 species
AUUGAACGCUGGCGGCAGGCCUAACACAUGCAAGUCGAGCGAGCGGCGGACGGGUGAGUAAUGUCUGGGGAACUGCCUGAUGGAGGGGGAUAACUACUGGAAACGGUAGCUAAUACCGCAUACCAUCAGAUGUGCCCAGAUGGGAUUAGCUCGUGGGUGGGGUAACGGCUCACCUAGGCGACGCUCCCUAGCUGGUCUGAGAGGACGACCAGCCACACUGGAACUGAGACACGGUCCAGACUCCUACGGGAGGCAGCAGUGGGGAAUAUUGGACAAUGGGCGAAAGCCUGAUGCAGCCAUGCCGCGUGUGUGAAGAAGGCCUUCGGGUUGUAAAGUACUUUCGGCGGGGAGGCGGUAUCCGCAGAAUAAGCACCGGCUAACUCCGUGCCAGCAGCCGCGGUAAUAC